GGAGGGUUGGCCGAGUGGUCGAAGGCGGGCGCCUCGAAAGCGUCUAAGCCCGUGAGGGCUUCCGGGGUUCGAAUCCCUGACCCUCCG
rnacentral:tRNA from 1 species